rnacentral:rRNA from 1 species
AUUGAACGCUGGCGGCAUGCCUUACACAUGCAAGUCGAACGGUAACGGGUCCUUCGGGAUGCCGACGAGUGGCGAACGGGUGAGUAAUAUAUCGGAACGUGCCCAGUAGUGGGGGAUAACUGCUCGAAAGAGCAGCUAAUACCGCAUACGACCUGAGGGUGAAAGGGGGGGAUCGCAAGACCUCUCGCUAUUGGAGCGGCCGAUAUCAGAUUAGCUAGUUGGUGGGGUAAAGGCCUACCAAGGCAACGAUCUGUAGUUGGUCUGAGAGGACGACCAGCCAACCUGGGACUGAGACACGGCCCAGACUCGUACGGGAGGCAGCAGUGGGGAAUUUUGGACAAUGGGCGCAAGCCUGAUCCAGCAAUGCCGCGUGCAGGAAGAAGGCCUUCGGGUUGUAAACUGCUUUUGUCAGGGAAGAAAUCUUCUGGGCUAAUACCCCGGGAGGAUGACGGUACCUGAAGAAUAAGCACCGGCUAACUACGUGCCAGCCGCCGCCGUAA